GAUGAACGCUGGCGGCGUGCCUAAUACAUGCAAGUCGAGCGAACAGAUAAGGAGCUUGCUCCUUUGACGUUAGCGGCGGACGGGUGAGUAACACGUGGGUAACCUACCUAUAAGACUGGGAUAACUUCGGGAAACCGGAGCUAAUACCGGAUAACAUUUGGAACCGCAUGGUUCUAAAGUGAAAGAUGGUUUUGCUAUCACUUAUAGAUGGACCCGCGCCGUAUUAGCUAGUUGGUAAGGUAACGGCUUACCAAGGCAACGAUACGUAGCCGACCUGAGAGGGUGAUCGGCCACACUGGAACUGAGACACGGUCCAGACUCCUACGGGAGGCAGCAGUAGGGAAUCUUCCGCAAUGGGCGAAAGCCUGACGGAGCAACGCCGCGUGAGUGAUGAAGGGCUUCGGCUCGUAAAACUCUGUUAUUAGGGAAGAACAAAUGUGUAAGUAACUGUGCACGUCUUGACGGUACCUAAUCAGAAAGCCACGGCUAACUACGUG
rnacentral:rRNA from 1 species